UACGUAGGUGGCAAGCGUUGUCCGGAUUUACUGGGUGUAAAGGGGGCGCAGGCGGGAAGCUAAGUUGGAUGUGAAAUACCGGGGCUCAACUCCGGAGCUGCAUCCAAAACUGGUUUUCUUGAGUGGAGUAGAGGCGAGCGGAAUUCCGAGUGUAGCGGUGAAAUGCGUAGAUAUUCGGAGGAACACCAGUGGCGAAGGCGGCUUGCUGGGCUCUAACUGACGCUGAGGCCCGAAAGCGUGGGGAGCAAACAGGAUUAGAUACCCGGGGUAGUCCCUGAG
rnacentral:rRNA from 1 species